UACGAAGGGGGCUAGCGUUGCUCGGAAUUACUGGGCGUAAAGCGCACGUAGGCGGCUUUCUAAGUCGGGGGUGAAAGCCCAGAGCUCAACUCUGGAACUGCCUUCGAAACUAGAGGACUUGGGUACGGGAGAGGUGAGUGGAAUUCCGAGUGUAGAGGUGAAAUUCGUAGAUAUUCGGAAGAACACCAGUGGCGAAGGCGGCUCACUGGCCCGUUACCGACGCUCAGGCGCGACAGCGUGGGGAGCAAACAGG
rnacentral:rRNA from 1 species